UUUUUUUUUUUGCUCAGUCACUGAGCCUUUAUGUGGCAAGAGGUGAAUGUUUAUGUUUUAUGAAUUGUGAUCAAAACAUAAUUACCUUUAAGAUCCAUGUUCCUGUUUGUAUCCUAUUUGCCAUUUUAAUCCUUUUUGCCAUUAUAAUCCUUUCAGGACUGCAUUUGUCAAGUUCUUAUUUGUUGGUUUCUAAAUGAAUUUCAUGGAAAUACUUAAGAACUCACAGUCAAAGGGGAUUUUAACUCCUAUAUAAGCAAAAAUAACCUUAAAUAGAAAGUAACUAAAAUAAACCAAACAGCUCUAGGUGUCGCAGAUUUCCCAUGGCAGAAGGUUGUUCCUGGACACAUGAGCAAUAUUUUAAACUGAGCUCUCACAAAAUACAGUUGCUACUGUUAAAACAAAUACUAAAACCACUGAAAGUUGAAAAGUGAUAGAUGGAGUUUUAGGCAUUAUAUUUAUGUAAGACAGGUUUGAUGAGAUGUCUAUGCUUAUCAGAAAUGUGAUGUAUAAUGUCACUGUGGGGGUGAUUCUACCUAAGGAUAAAAAUAAAGGAUGAUCUGAAUAAUUGCCUGUUAACUGAACAGUUAUAUAUUUAAUGGAAAGCAUUUAUUUGCUGACUUUUAAGCAUUAAUAUCUCUUCAAGCACGUGUCAGCUGCAGAAGCUGUUAAAAUAUAUCAAUGGUAGGAACUGAAAUACAGUUUAUUUUCUAUGAGAUCUGAAGUAUGUGGAGAGCAACCAUAGAAGAAUAAGAAGCUUUUGAUCUAGUAAAAAGCCUUUAGUAAACAUAACAAGAAAGGAGAGUGAGGGAAUACAGAAAAAAAUGCUGAUAAAAUACAGACAAAAAUGCUAAAAAAAUAAAAAAAUAUUACUUAAGAGGUCUAAAUUAAAAGCAGAAGAUUAUAACAUGGGAAAAUAAGGGGAAAAAAAGAAAUACAAACCCUGAAUUAAUUGAUUAUACUCAAAAAUUGAAUUAAUUGAUUAUACUCAAAAAACUACAUGGAACAGGAAAAAAAAAGAGCUUAAUGUGGCUAGAGACUGGAAAAGAGUCACUUGAAAAAAACAAACAGGUAAGUUAAGGAAAUAAAAACAUUUAUUUCUGCUAAAGCAUAUUUUAUAUACAGAUAACAAAAAGGAACAAUCAAAGAUGUUUCAGCUAGAAAGGAACUUGAUCUUACUAUCAGGGAUCUUUCCUUUUAGAUUAAACAUCAACUCAUUUGCAUCCUCCUUUGUAGUGGAACUGUUAGGCCAUGGCUUGAACUGUUAGUUGAGCCCCUGGUAAAAGUGCGUGGCUGGCCCAGGGAGCACAAGCAAAUUGUUUGCACCUGUGCUCCCCUCGUGACCAGAUGGGUAGACCCAGAGUGGUGACUUCCUGGGCUCAUAUAAGGGCCUGCUAUUGAGAGAUUGUCUGUUUGGUCUCGGCUGUUUUCUGAGAUGGUGUGCUGUAUAGCUAGAGAGCUUCCUUAUCAGGUUGGUGAGUUCUGUUCUUUCUGUAUGUGAUUAUUAGCCUGUCUACAAAUACUUUGCCUUAUAUAGCCAAGAAUCUGUCAGAAGGGUUUUGUUUCUUCAUAAGCUGAAUAUCUUUGAAAAACAUGUGGAUUUGCUACGUGGAAUUAUCCAUAGAAGUUAAAUUUUUUUUAUUAUAUGCGUAAAAAUAUAUAAAAAAAAAAAAUUGUGACCUGCACCUGUUGCUGUUGUUUCUUAAUACUUCAAGAUCCAGGAAAUAAGCAGAUGAUAUCUAGAUUUCCUGUCAUGUACAGUCUGCUUAUAAUAUAUGUUAUUUUGCAGUAGUCUAAUUUAUUUGCUGCAGCUAUACUUUUGAUACUGCAAACCCACAUUUCUAUUAAUGCUGGAGUAAGUCUUGUCUUAAUACGCGUGAUCAGUUUCACAAUCUUACGGAUCAGUUUUGUCUGAAUGUGCCAGACUGUUCCUGUAUCAUUAGAAGUACAGUUUUAAACACACUUAGUUUCUUAUAGCAAUCUUUUAUCACAGCAUGAUAUCAUUAAAUACAACAGCAUUUCUGAUUUCUUCAAGGGAAUACUCCUAGUGGCAUAAGGCCUAAUGAUGACACUUCUGCUAGUAGCCAAGUGGAUUGUCUUGUGGUUGCUCACAGGGUAUGAAAUGAACUUUUUUCAAGCUCACUGUAUGUUUUCCAGUAUUUUUUAGAGCAAAGAUUCCCAGACUCAAGGUGUAACAGUGUUAUCUUUACUUUUACAAUUAGCAUUCUUCUGUUCAUUCUCUAGCCUCUGGUUAAAUCCAUCCAUUACUAUUUCUGAAUUUGCCCACUUAGCUGACUGAUUUUAUGCCUUAAAGGUGCAUAACAGGCUCUGUGUCUUUCCUGAUGUGGAACACAUCUCUCCCCUGAGAACCAUGCCUUGCCUGUCAUGGUUUUAUGACUUUUGGUUACUGGUAAUCUACAUCAUAAUGUCAUGUAGUGCACUGGGAGUUAAAGUGUUAAUGCUCCAGUUCUGGGCACCUGUCUGGAAGAGAAGAACAACUACAUACCCCAGGGGGCUUUGUGGUCAGAGAGGAGAUAUAACCUCUGGCAAAGUCACCUGAUGUCCUGUUCUUCCUUCAGCUCUCUUCCCUGUUGCUCAUCCCGACUGCGUGCAUCACCUCAGCACUACUGUAAGGCCUACAGUUUUCAGAUACUCUCUCAUUAUAUUUGACUUAUUUGCUUCAAUUCUAAUUACAUUGUAUUAUAGAGCGUUAUCCUGCAUUCCAGUACUGUAUUUAGUAAAUUAGUUUGUUUCUCCUCAGAUCAUUGCUGCUGUUUUAAAUUAUUUUGGGGUCCCCUGUUUCCCUUUUCUGGAGGCAUGGAUUUUGCAAAAUCUGUCUGCCUUGCUAGUCACAGAACUGGGCUGAACCAGCCCGUAAACUGUUGACACUUGCCUUACCUUAUAUUCUUCAAAAGUGUGUGUGUGUAUCUAAAGAACGAAUUUAAGACAACAUAAUUUUGAAGUUUGUCAUGGACUUUUAGCUAUGUGUGUGGCUUAUGUAAAUAACUCUCUUACAUUAUCUAUUAAACUAGUUAAAAUUAUCUUCAGACAGUUGUAUUGAUGAUUCUUAGUGUACGAAUCCUUAUUUGUUUUCUGGCUCAAAGCUUGUUUCCUGAGGUAUUUCUUGUAAUAAAACUCUAGGAGAUGAGAGAUGGGUGUAGCCAUGUGGCAAUCAACAUCACUGUCUGGACAAUUUUACAUUUGAAAUUUUACUUUAUUCCCCCAAACUUGAUGGUACCAGAACACUUGUAGCUCGCAUCGAGGUUAAUGGACAUAGAAAAUAGGUAUCAGGUAGUCCUAUUCAAUAUCUAUCAUCCCAUAUUUUGGAGCUAUGCAUCCUGCUUGGCCAGAAGGAAUCAAGGAUUCAUGUGAGUUAGAAAAGGUGGUGAUCAUGAAGUGGUUUGACUCCAUAUCAGUUCAUGAGGAAGCUCAUGAGUGUGAUGGAAACUCUACUUUCCAAUUGUUGCUUACAACAAAACUUCUGUAUCUUCCUCCAUAGUAGCUAAACAGAUUUUAGGUGUCUGGGAACCUAUGCCCUUUAGUUAUAUAAUCUCAUACCUAGCUGCUCCCUCUCCUUCAUCCAUGAAUCUUUUUCUUCAUGUUGGCACAACCGACACUCCCUCUAAGUCACUGCAGAUUUGCCUAAUUUAUUCUCCUCUAAUAUAUGUGUGAAAAUAUCAAUUUGAAUCCACUUAGUCUGAAGUGAUAUUUUAUUUAAAGUUAAUAAAUUCUUAUUUUGAAAGUGAAAACAAAUGAUCACUUUGAGUGAUCCAAUCUCACAGGGCCAUCACGCUCAGGACUGCAAUCUCCAUUUAGAGUUAGCAUUUCAAACAUGCUUCUGGAUUCUGUAGCUUUGGUAAGCUUAUUUCCCUCAUGAAUAUUGCUCUUGCUCUUCUGAAUGGUAUUUGUAUGUGCUGAACUGUCACCAAGUAUUGUACAGAGAACUUUGACUUCUAGGUUAAGUCUUUAUGAAACUCACUUUGUUCUGCUGGCCUAAGUGAAUUAGCCAAGUGGGGAAGGGGGGGGGGGGUGGAAAUGGCUUUAGCAGGACAGAAGUAAUGACUAGUUUGCCACAUUUUUGCAUACUUCCAGAUCUUGUGAAAGAGGGCGUUAAUUUAGCAGAGAGUAAAUUUCUCUAUAAGAUUUUCCACAGACUGUAAAAGGAUUAAAUCUUGGCAAGACUAUCUGAUUUCUUCUCCAUGACUCCCAAGAUGUCUCUAAAGUGGAGGAAUGCCAUGUUGUUUAGAGAACAUGACUCAUUCACAGCUACACUUAAAGACCAAUACUCUUUAAGAGAUGAGGAAGUAUCAUUGGUCUCAUCUGCAAAAGCAGCAGUUUGAGUAAGAAAGAAAGGCUACACCAAAGGUAGGUAACUUCCUUUACCUGAUGAAUGUAUUCAUUGAGUAGAUUAAGUAGAAAGUAGAAAUUAAUGUUUCAUACUGUCAUAACAAAUCUUAAGUAAAUCAUAUGAUAGAUGUGCUGAAGCUGGGUAUUCUUCCUCAGUUCUGUGAACAAAACAAAAAAGUUAUUUGAUUAAGUAAAAGCAGGUACAUAUUAAGAAGUGGAAAAAGAUUGGUAAUUCUUGUUUUGUUUUCUUUUCCUGAGACAGUAUGCAUGUUUAAAUUGCUUAUUUGAACAAAUUAAUCUCUUCUGUUCUUUUUAGUUCAGGAUCAGUGAAGAGACUUCUGUCUUUAUGAUGGUUCUAGAAAAUCAAAGCAUCUGGAGUUUAUGCUAAGAUUUAAUGUCAAUACUGAUUUAUUUUUUUUUUUAGUUAUUACUUGCAAUUAGUGUCCUUGACCACAGCCUGAAGUAGCGUCUUUUAAGAACUGAUGGAGUUUAAGUCUCCAGAUGUCUGUGCUGAGCAUGUACAUAUUAGCCUGUUAUUUAUUCUAAUAACACCUUUCAUUUUGAAUGACAUAUGAUUUGGCCUAGGAAUAAUCAGCCAAGCAAGAAGCUCAUGUUUCCAGGCCCUGCCGAUAGAAUAGCUAACAAUACUGAAUCAGGACCUUAUGUGAUCCUGGUACUCAGGAGAGCUGCAAGUUAAACAUCAGAAGAAACCAUCCAAUUUGGCAUUAACUUUGUGUCCUUGACACUGAAAUAUUGUUUCCUAUGGUGUCUUCAUCCAGAUCAAUUCUAAGUGCCCUGCACACUUUCCUUACCAGGCAUUUUGACAACAUAACCUUCUGAUACUGAGGCGUGAUUUAUACAGAUAUUGAAACUGUCCCUCCUGAAUUUUCAUACCUACUGUCUUAUACUAUGGAUAUCAUCCUAAAUAAUUCUUCUUCUGUUGUUAUUGUAUGUACCCUCCAAAGGCUUGAGAUGGCAAUAUCUCUUCUUUUACAACUUGAAAACCAAAUUGUGUGUAAUGCUUAAGCAAAUUAAUCACUGUUUAUUCCCUGAGGUUUUUUUUUUCUUGAAACUCUAGUGAAUGGUCAUUAUUUUCAGCCAUGUCUGCAUUAGUUGCCAGAGUGGCAAACUACUAUUUACUGCGUGGACCAAAACUAUUAACAGUGUAUUUGUUGUAAAGCAAAACUUCAGAAUGACUCUGGUCAUGCAAAUGCAAAACUUGUGAGUUCAAAUACAUUUCCCUGUCCUGAGUUACGUAAAAGGGGCCAACACAGUUGACUUCUAAUAUUGUGUCCGCUCUACAAACCAAAGAGUAAUAAAUGAGGAUGAGUGAGAUGUAUUUUCAAAGCACACUCCUAUCCCAUCUGAGACAGUGCAAGAAAGGCAAUGCCAGAUAACCAGUUCUAAAUGAACCAAAGAAGGGGUGAUGUUCAUAAUCCAGUCAAAGAAAUGUUUGUUUACUUGUUCCAAGUAUCAGGGCUUGCCAAAUACUCCAAGAAAUGAGAUCUCCAGGUUGAGAUCCUUCUCCUGUGGUAGCCAGCCCUUAAAUAAGGCUUAGGGAGGUGAAUUGCAUUCCCCGUGCUCCCAGGGCUGGCUGUGUCCCUUCACCAGGUACUCAGUCAUUGUUUCAGGCUGUGACUUAACAAUUCCCCUUAUCUCUGCAGCUCAAAGUGUCCUUGUCAAAAUUCACCAUGGCAGAUGGAAAAAGCCAAAUUUCAAUUGAAGUUACUAUACACUAUCUUACAGGCUUUUACUGUUUUGCCAGACUUCAUUUUUUUUAUUUAACACUCCUGCUACAGGUUGUAUAUUCUCAAAUAUAUUCAGUUGUAUCUUCUCUGAUCAGAAUCUUAUAUAAGGCCCUACUUUUUGUAAUGGUAAGGACUAGUCACUGAAACAAUGUACCUGGGGUCAUGAUAAACUCUCUAAAAUGUGAAGCUUUUAAAUUAAGAUUUGAUUUAUUUCUCAAAUAGAGGUCCUUGCUCAUCCUGAAGUUAUGAAAUUGAUGCAGGAAUCACUUCUUAAAAUUCUGUGGCUUGUGCUGUUCAGGAGGUCAGUCUGUGUUAUUAUAGUUCCUGCUGGUCUUAAAAUUUAUGGAACUACAAAACAUUUUAUAUAUUUUGUGUAUAUUAUUAAUUCUGUCUCUUUAUAUACUGUUUCUCUUUCCUUGGAGGUUUUCAUAACACCUUCCAAAUGAAUUUAGUAUUGUCUCUGAAUUUUGUUUAUGUACUGUGUAUUCAACUGAAUACAUUGUCAUUUAUCAGUGCACUGUUUGUGGUCCUUCAGCAAGCUUUCAUUCUAUGUGACAGUGUUCAUAUCCAUGCCAAUUUGAUUUUUUUGUGAGUAGAAUUUCAUUUGAUGCUAUAUCAAAUAUUUCAAUAAAAAGCUAGAUACAUUCCAUCUACUUCAUUCCCCCGUUACUUCAUUAAAAUAAAGUAUUCAGAUUUGUCUGGAAUGAUUUGUACUUACUAAAACUGCUAAUUUUGAUUGUGGAUCACCAAGUGAGAGGUGCUGAAGAGUGGUGGAGAUUCUUUCUUUACCAACUGAAGCCUUUAAAAAUGUAGGAGGUGUGAUGAAUCUCACCCUAAUUCUUGAAUUUGAUAUUCAUUCUUACAUUCUUCCUAGUCACCUCCCACAACUGACAGCUGAGUACUGUGAUUAUUCUCUGUAGUGAUCACUGUUCAUAAGUGUCUGCAGAGAUCUAUGUUUACUCAGUUUCUGUAAUAAAGUAGUGUAAUAUAUACAUUUUCUUCUAGACUGUGGCACCAAAAUAAUGGUGGUGUUGAUGUUUAAUACUACUGCUCUCUAAGAACCUUCUCAGACAUGAACUCCAUCUCUCAUAUUUUUAAAUGUGAAGUAAGCCAGAAGACUGCUCUCCUGGAUUCUCUACCCAUCUCCCAAACUCUGCUGCUGACAAUAUGAAAGACUGCUUUUAAUGAUAUGUAUAUACACACAUACAAACUCUCACACAUCUGCAUUCAGAAGGCAAAGGAGAAAAUGAAGUUAGUAGAUCCAGCUACUAAAGGUUUAACAUAAUUAUAGAAGGUCAAGUCUGAGAUACCAGUUAGAUAAGGAAGUCAGUAGUUCAAAAGUGUUCUGCUAUGUUCAGAAUGAAAUUAUAACAGCUAAAAAUGGGAUCCUUUGAUCAUUCAUGUUCCAUGCCAGUGUAGCGGUAUGUAAAAGUUAUCUUGGGGGUUUAAAAAAAAAAAAAAAAAAGUAAUAAUAAUAAUUGAAGAAUUAUGUAGGAAAUUGCUAUGUUUGGUAAUUUUUUUAAAAAAAAACAUUCUUAUGAUUUUGUUCUGCUCUAGAAUUUAAACAUAUUUAAAAAACAAUAAUACCUCCACAAAUGAAUUAUCAUCAACUGGAUAGAUAUAUAAAAGGGACAGCUCAUUAAGUAAGCAUUUUCUUCUAAUCAUGCUUGCAAAUGUUUGUAAAACCACUGGCUCCUGGCAGCUGUGUAAUCUUGCAGCUUAUUUCCUUAUAGAGUUUAUCACAGAGAAUAUUAGCAACCUGAUGGGAUGCCAAACAUGUGAAAUAGCUUUUUGUACAAAGGCACUUUUAAAAACCAUUGAGUAAAGUCUGCUAAUGGAAAUUAACAGCAAGAAAUUAAAUAUGUGGCUAAAACCAGAGAUCAUGUCAGCAGCUUGUAUUUAUUUAAAAUAUUGACUGGAUUUCUCAGCCUUACCUUAGAACAAAUACAAAAUAUUUUUUCUUUUAUAUAUAUAUAUAUAUACACUUUUUUUACCCCCCAAAAAUGUGUUUCUCAUAAUAUCUAGCUCUUGUUUAUUUGCAGGUUGUUUUGAAAGAAAGAUCAGUGUAAUGUGACAGAAUGAAAACCAUGUGUCACAGUGCAUCAUUGGCUUACAAGAAAGAAAGAAAGAAAGAAAAAAGCAGCAUUUGGGUUUUUGAAUUCUGGUGGAUAGGAAUUUACAAUGAUAAACUGGGGGGGGGGACACCAAAAAACUGUUUCACUGGAACACAGUAACUUCCCUAUGAACAUGAGGAAAAUCUUUAUUUUCAGGGUUAUGGAGCACUGGAACAGAUUGCCUGGAGAAGCUGUGGAAUUUUCUUCUCUAGAGAUAUUCAAAAUUCUCCUGGAUACUUUCCUUCACAACCUCUUCUAGGGAAUCUGCUUUAGCCAGUGGUUAGAAUAAAUGGUCUCUUGAGAUUCCUUCCAACUGCUCUGAUUCUGUAAUCCUUGCAAUCAGAGCUUCUGUUGGAAACAGAAAUUCCAUGUACUGAGGUUUUAUAGGACUAGACCUAUAAUUUGCUCAAUUACUAGUGUUAAGAAAACCGUAGGGGACCCGAGUAACAGCAACUUUUAACCAAGCACAUUUGCACUUUGUUUGAAACCCUGUAUGAUUUAUCAAGAUCAUAUCCCUGCCUUCUCCAGGAUCUAAAAUAAUUUUCGUAACUUAAAUCAACUAUUAAAUGAAUAGUUAAGAGAUAAAAUCCCAAACCCAGAUAUAAUUGGUAUAGCUUAAAUUAAGUUUUACAUUUAUUGCUGGGAGAUAAAAUUGGGUAGAAUAACUAUUACAACAGAAUUAAGGAAAAGAAAAUAGAUACGGUGUGGGACCUAGGUUAACUUUUAUUUAAAACACAUGUCUGAUGGAGGAAACAGUCUGCAAAAACAAACAAACAAACAAAGAAAAAAACAUCUGAUACUACUGCACUGUAAUCUCCAUUUGCCAGAGCAACAUCCUUCUGGGUUUUGAGGGGAAAAUAUUACAUGUAAGAUGCACUGAUUCUGGAAAAUGUAUGAAAACAUAAGAGGUUUGUUUGAAAAAGCAUGCAGUGUAUAUAUACAUUUAUAUAACACUACAAUAAUUAGUCUCCUAAGAAUUUGAACAGAGUUUAAGUAGAGGUUAAAAAGAUACAGUCUAACAAAAGUAGAGAAACAAGAAUAGAAACUGUUAAACAUAGCUACUUUACAGAAUGUUGCCAUCUGAGGAGACAGAGAAAUCAAAAAUUUAACUUGAAACAUUGUAGCUCGUUUUCAUUCAGUUCCAGUAUGAUAGGCAUUCUGCUGCUUUUUUUUUUCAUGUUCUCAUCCUCAAUAUAUCCUUUCUACUACCUCCUACAACUUCAUAGUAAGAAAUAUUGAAUAAUGCUUGUCUACCAAGUGUUGUUGAUCAAGGGUUCAACAAUUAUGUUCAUUAGAGAUGAUCUGUUUAGUUCUUGAAUUAAGGGAUAAUUUAAUUUGGUUGGGACUUCUGAACUUCAGUGCUGUAAUGCUGACUGAAAGCAAGACUUACUUCAGAGUUAAAUCAUAGAAUCAUAGAAUCACAAGGUUGGAAAGGACCUACAAGAUCACCCAGUCCAACUGUCCUCCCAUUACCCUUGCUACCGCAAGCCACUAAACCAUAUCUCUUAGCUCCUCAUCCAGAUGCCUCCUGAACACUGCCAGGGACAGCGACUCCACCACCUCCCUGGGCAGGCCAUCCCAGCACCUGACCACUCUUUGAGAGAAGAAGUUUUUCCUUAUGUCUAAUCUAAUCCUCCUCUGGUACAAUUUGUGGCCACUUCCUCAGGUCCUGUUUGUUGCCUGGGAGAAGAGGCCAAAGCCUUCUUCAUCACAACCUCCCUUCAGGAAGUUGUAGAGUGCAAUGGGGUCUCCUCUGAGCCUCCUCUUCUCCAGACUGAACAAUUCCAGCUCCCUCAGUCACUCAUUAGACUUGGGCUCCAGACCCCUCACCAGUUUUGUUGCUCAUUCUCUGGGCACAUUCCAGGGCCUCAAUGUCUUUCUUACAGUGAGGGGCCCAAAACUGAACACAAUAUUCAAGGUGUGGUCUCACCAGUCUUGAGUACAGGGGGUUGGUUACCUCCCUGCUCCUGCUGGCUACACUAUUUCUAAUGCAGGCCAGGAUGCCAUUGUCCCUCUUGGUCACCUGGGCACACUGUCAACUCAUGUUCAGUCAAGCAUCAACCAACGCCCCCAGGUCCCAUUCCUCUUCACAGUCAUCCAGCCACUCAUCCCCAAGCCUAUAGCGCUGCAUGGGUUAUUGUGGCCAAAGUGCAGGACCCUAUACUUGGCCUUGUACCUCAUCCCAUUCACCUUGGCCCAGCAUUCCAGCUUAUCCAGAUCGCUCUGAAAGGGCCUCCCUACCCUCAGGCAGAUCGACACCACCACCCAGCUUGGUGUCAUCUGCAAACUUACUGAGGGUACACUCAAUAUCUUCAUCUAGGUCAUCAAUAAAGAUAUUAAACAAGAAGGGCCACAGUACCAACCCCUGGGGGACACCACUUGAAACAGGUUGUCAGCAGGACUUAACUCCAUCAACCACUACCCAUUGGGCACAGUCCUCUAGCCAGUUCCUUACCCAAAGAAGGGUAUACCUGAUCAGGCCAUGGGCAGCCAGUUUCCCCAGAAGAAUACUGUGAGAAACCACGUCAAAGUCUUUGCUGAACUAUAGGUAGACUACAUCAACAGCCUUUCUCUCCUCUACCAGUCUGGUCACCCAGUCAUAGAAGGAGAUGGGAGUCACAUCGGCAAGCCUCCAGCUCUCUGGGACCUCUCCAGAUAACCAGGAGUGCUGGUAGAUGGACGAAAGCAGCUCAGCAAUCACCACCACCAGCUCCCUCAGUACCCUAGGGUGGAGCCCGUCCAGCCCUAUGGACUUGUGACAGUCCAGAUGGAGAAGGAGCUCUAUAACUGUCUCUACCUGAAUCACUGGGGGUGUAUUCUGCAUAGCAUUCCAUACUUCCAGAUCAGGGUGUAAAGUGCCCUGAGGAUAACUGAUCUGACUUUUAAAGGCAGAUGUAAAGAAAGCACUGAGGACUUCAGCCUCCUCCUUAUCCUCAGUGGUCACAUUCUCCACUGCAUCAAGUAAAGGAUGGAAAUUCUCCUUGGUUCUUCUCUUACCGUUGAUAUAUUUGUAAAAAGAUUUCUUAUUCUUUUUUACUGCAGUGGCCAACCUGAGUUCAAGUUGGCCUUUUGCCUUCCUAACUUCCUCCCUGCAUAUCUUAUCAACUUCCUUGUAAUCUCCCCAAGUUGCCUGUCCCUUCUUCCAGAGGAUAUAGACUCUUUUUUUAUUCUGGAGUCUCAGCAGUAGUUCAUGGUUCAUCCACACCGGUCUUCUUCCCCUGCGACUCUCCUUACGGCAUUCAGUGACAGCCUGUUCUUGUGCCUUCAGGAUUUCCAUCUUGAGGAGCGUCCAGGCUUCCUGGACCCCUUUACCCUUAAGGAGAGACUCCCAAGGGACCCAUGCUACAAGCGUCCUGAACAGGUCAAAGUCCGCCCUCUUGAAGUUCAAGACAGCAGUUUUGCAAGUCACCCUUCUGACAUCUCCAAGAAAUGGAAUUCUACAGUUUCGUGGUUGCUCUGCCCAAGACAGUCCCCAGCCUUCACAUCUCCCACCAGUCCUUCACUGUUAGUGAAGAGCAGGCCUAGCAGGGCACCACCCCUGGUAGGCUCUUGUACCAGAUGUGUAAGGAAGCUAUCUUCCACGCACUUUAGAAACCUCUUGGACUGCUUCCUCUGUGUUGUAUUAUAUUUCAACAUAUAUCAGGGAAGUUGAAGUCUCCCACGAGAAUGAGUGCUGGUGAUCACGUGACUUCCGCAAGCUGCUCAUAGAAUGCCUCAUCCAUCUCUUCAUCCUGAUUAGGCAGUAUAUAACAGACUCCCACCAAGAUGUCAUCCCUACAAGCCUUCCCCCUGAUCCUUACCCAUUGACACUCAACUUUAUCAUUCCCAACCCCAAGCUCUUCAACAUCAACACAGACUUGAAUAUAAAGGGCCACACUACCACCCUUCCUUCCUCAUCUACCCCUUCGGAAGAGCUUGUAGCCAUCCAUCACAGCACUCCAGUCAUGGGAGUGAUCCCACCAUGUUUCAGUAAUAGCAACUAGAUCAUAGUUAGCCUGACGCACAGUCGCUUCCAACUCCUCCUGCUUGUUGCCCAUGCUGCAUGCAUUGGUGUAGAGUCAUCUGCCUCACCCUCAGCUCAAGCAUCGUUCCCCUAGGCUAAUCUCUUGUGAGCCUUGUUUUGUCCCCUUUCCCUGUCAUAGAUAGUUUAAAGCUCUUUUGAUAAGCCCUGCUAGCUUGUGCUCUAGGAUUUGUUGCUCCCUUUGAGAUAGGUGGGUUCCAGGGACAGACAGUAGGCCAGAGGCUGAGUAAACUGCCCCAUGAUCAAAGAACCUAAAGUUUCUGGCUCAACACCAGCCUCUGAGCCAGUUAUUCAUUGCUUGUGCUUUCCAAGCCUGCUCCAUGUCCCUCACUGCCCCUGAAGGUGUAGAACAAAAGAUUACUUGAGCUCCUGUUCCUUGAACUAAGCACCCUAAAACCCUGAAAUCUCUCUUCAUAAUUCAUAGGCUUCUCUGAGCAAUUUCAUCACUGCCCACCUGAACUAUGAUUAAUGGAAAAUAAUCAGUGAUUAUUUAUAAUCAGUAAUUUUUAUAAUAAUCAGUGAUCAAAAACCUCCUAGGUUUUCAAUUUGACAUGGCCAUUCUUAUUCCAAACUUCCAGAAGAUACUUGUAGUAGAGAAAGAUGUUACUCUCUUGAGCUAAGACAGUCAGUGCCAGCAAUUUUAUUACAUGGCUUAUGAGGCAGAUUAUUACUAUCGAAAAAGAAAUCAUAUUUGGGUAUUUUACAUUAUACUGUGAAUUUCUGAACCAGUUUCUGUUUUCCUGUAGCAUAUACACAGUUAUUAUCACUGUUGUACAUUUGCUCUUGAAGGUAAUAACUUUUACUUACACUUCAGUUGCCUUCCAAAAUGAAAUGCUCUUACUUUUUUCUUCUCCUGAUGCUGAAAUUGUGUUGUUCAAAAACUGCCUUUAAAGACAAUUCUGGAGAAGUUUUUAAUGCCUUUUGGUCUUCUUUUAAUGCCUCUGCUUGGCAAAAACUUUCACCCUUCCCUAACAUAUGUUGUAUAGCCAUAUUGCCCUUACUCCUCUCCAGCCUCCAUAACACAGGUAAGUCAAAACCACUUUGGCCAUUUGGUUUAACCUCUACAUCUUUUCUGUCAAAAGGCUUGUGACAACGGUCAGCCUAAGGGUUGCACAGAAAAUCUACUUUAAAACUAAACAUUAGUUAUGCAAUGCAGAACAUAUCCUGCAAAGGCAAAGAUUAAAAAACAGCCAACAAGUAUAUACAGAGUGUUCAGUAGAAAUUCCACUGAGCUGAAAUUGGUUUCUGUCAGGACUGGAAAGAGAACAUUCCCUCAUUAAAAAUAUGAAAAUAAAUAAAUGAAUAAAUAAAUAUGCAGUCCACCUCUCUGUCAUUCUCUCUUUGAAGACCUCGGCUGAUCAUUCAUUUCUUUCUAUGUCUGUGGUCUUCAUAUGUCUGAUGGCAAAUAGAUGAGCUGAAAAUAAGUAAUGCCCCUGGUCACUCUCUACAAAUUCAUUUUCAAAGGUAAGGACUUCAGCUGCAGAGUAAGCAAUUUACAGAUCAAGUAUGUCUACUCUAAAGUUUAUAGAGAACAGCUGUAAGAGACUAUUCUUUUAUAUGAUUGACUCAAAGUUUGCUGAGGAACAAGUCCAGGCAAGUCCUGGGCAAAGGUAGAGAAAUCUUCUGUCUGGAGAACAUUGAUGGGCAGGUCCUGGCUAAGGAUUGUGAAAUCUUCUAAGGAGCACAGAUGGACAAGGCCAGGGGCAACGAGAGAGAGGUAAGCUGCCGCUAAUGGCCGGGAAACGGUCUUUUUGUGUGGACUUAUCUCGAGGAAGAUGGCCAUCUCAGGAGGUAUGCACAUGACUCUUGCUCAAGCACCCAGGGAUGUCAGGUAGGCAGGAGAAAAUGGAGGAUAAAAGAGGGUCCAACAAACUACAGCGGACUAGAGGCUGAUCUCUCACCACGACGGACUAGUGAAGGGUUUCAGCCAUCAGAUCCCUCACCACGACGGACUCGAGGUUUCUGCCUUCAGAUCCUUCUCUACGGACCGUAUGUUGACGGACUUCCCUGGGCCUGCUACCUGAGACCUGCUGCUUCCUCCCAGACUUACUCUGCGGCUUCUUCCUGGACCUACCCGGUACCUGCACCCUCUCGUUGCCCAAGGCCGGAAGUUUUGCUACAAACUUCAAAGAGUCCAGAUCACUAGGGAGGGUGAGAAGAAAUGAGAGAAUACAGUGGGUAGACUGGCAAAUACCUGCUGUCAAAAUAAGUAUACUAUUUCAGGGCUUAAAACACUUGGUUUAUGUAUUUCUCAAUUCCACUUCCAUUGGUGUAAAUCUAAAUUGAAAUUACUAAAAGGAAAACCAUAUAGCCAACAUUUUGUCAUACAGCAACUGAACAAUACAAUCCAAACAUCACGUAUAAAUGUGCAUAUACAAAUACAAGAACAGUCGGCUCAGAAGAAACUUUGGAAUGAGAGGUCUUUGCCAAAAAUGAUGGGGAAAUAUUUCUAUCCUAGAAUUCAAGCUAUAUUUAUUUUUCAAAAGUUGAACAAAGCAAAACAAAACAAAAAAAAUCUUUAUGCUUAAGCAAAGCUAAUGUAUAGAUUCUCUUUAAAUAAUUAAUAUUCUGGAAUUUGUUCAUGUUAAAACCUGAUAAUUUUAAAAUCAGGCACAGUAAAGGUAUGAAAAUAAAUUUAUAUGUAGAGCAAAAUUUUUUUUAUUCUUGUCAUAGUUGAUUGUUUUUGCAAUUGUACUUUUUUUUUACACAUUAAUAUACCUCUGCAGACAGAUACAUAAAAGCAUGAGUUCAAUCCUUUUGAACAGAAUUUAAGUAUAUAUAUUAUACAAUGUACUAGCUUAAAAAAAGGUUUGUACUGAUGGAACAGUGAUAUCUAGCAUUGUAUGUCUUAAAUAAAAUUAUUCUUAUUACUAUA